GGAUCAGUAUGUCGGUCGUGCUUCGGUACGUACUGUCAUUACUGGUUUCUCCCUUCUGAAGAACCAUGAUGUCAUUAAUCUGGUGUCUUGGGAAAUCAGGACUGUUACUUUGAAAAAAUUAGAGUGUUUAAAGCAAGCAUACGCUUGAAUACAUUAGCAUGGAAUAAUGAAAUAGGACGUUCGAUCCUUUUUUGUUGGUUUCUAGGAUUGACGUA
rnacentral:rRNA from 1 species